AAAAAUACUAAAGGUCCUGCAUCAUUUUUGGUUGAAAAACUAUUUAUAAGUGAUUCUUGGUUUUCACUUAAAUGAGAUACUAAUUAUCUGGGGUUUAAGGAUGGUGCAAGGAAGUUGAAUAUGACUGUUUGACCUGCUGAUCUACUCACUCUUUUGCUAUUGCUAAAGUACUCAUCAUUUCUUGUUUAUUUUGACCUCCAGUUACUCCUUGGCCCCUAAUGCUAUGUGAGGUGCAAAUCUGAAACAUGUAAAUAUGUUGGAGAUUUGAGUUUUGCUGAAUAUUAAUUUAUACGUUUAGAUUAUUUCCAUGUCCAUGUAUUAAUUUCAAUUCUUUUAUGUAUUUUACAUUUUGUUGUUCUUGUAUUUCUCGUCAAGUUAUAGUCUAGUCUCUUAGCCUCUUAUGUUGGUUUACAAUUUGGGCUGAGAGUUAGGUGUUUGAACAUUUAGAAGGUCCUAGUGUGCUGCAGUGCAUGCCUGAGUCAGUUAUGGAAUCCUUUGUUGGUUUAAUUUAAGUUUAUGUCAUCUUUAGAGUUAUAAUUCAAGAAAGGACUAUGUUUUUGAUAAUUAAUGUAAAUUUAAACUAUUUUAGCACUGAUUAGGAUAGUUUUAUACAUGAAUGUGUCAUAAUUAGUGAGUAAUUUUGAAUCCCAAGUGUAUAUCGACAGUAG
rnacentral:lncRNA from 1 species